AUUGAACGCUGGCGGCAGGCCUAACACAUGCAAGUCGAACGGUAACAGAAAGCAGCUUGCUGCUUUGCUGACGAGUGGCGGACGGGUGAGUAAUGUCUGGGAAACUGCCUGAUGGAGGGGGAUAACUACUGGAAACGGUAGCUAAUACCGCAUAACGUCGCCAGACCAAAGAGGGGGACCUUCGGGCCUCUUGCUAUCGGAUGUGCCCAGAUGGGAUUAGCUAGUAGGUGGGGUAACGGCUCACCUAGGCGACGAUCCCUAGCUGGUCUGAGAGGAUGACAAGCCACACUGGAACUGAGACACGGUCCAGACUCCGACGGGAGGCAGCAGUGGGGAAUAUUGCACAAUGGGCGCAAGCCUGAUGCAGCCAUGCCGCGUGUAUUAAGAAGGCCUUCGGGUUGUAAAGUACUUUCAGCGGGGAGGAAGGGAGUAAAGUUAAUACCUUUGCUCAUUGACGUUACCCGCAGAAGAAGCACCGGCUAACUCCGUG
rnacentral:rRNA from 1 species